AUUGAACGCUGGCGGCAUGCCUUACACAUGCAAGUCGAACGGUAACAGGUCUUCGGAUGCUGACGAGUGGCGAACGGGUGAGUAAUACAUCGGAACGUGCCCGAGAGUGGGGGAUAACGAGGCGAAAGCUUUGCUAAUACCGCAUACGAUCUCAGGAUGAAAGCAGGGGACCGCAAGGCCUUGCGCUCACGGAGCGGCCGAUGGCAGAUUAGGUAGUUGGUGGGAUAAAAGCUUACCAAGCCGACGAUCUGUAGCUGGUCUGCGAGGACGACCAGGCACACUGGGACUGAGACACGGGCCGGACUCCUACGGGAGGCAGCAGUGGGGAAUUUUGGACAAUGGGCGCAAGCCUGAUCCGGCCAUGCCGCGUGCAGGAUGAAGUCCUUCGGGUUGUAAACUGCUUUUGUACGGAACGAAAAGACUCUGGUUAAUACCUGGGGUCCAUGACGGUACCGUAAGAAUAAGCACCGGCUAACUACGUGCCAGCCGCCGCGGUAAUAC
rnacentral:rRNA from 1 species